rnacentral:rRNA from 1 species
CUACGGGAUGCUCCAGUGAGGAAUAUUGCACAAUGGGGGAAACCCUGAUGCAGCAACGCCGCGUGGAGGAUGACGCAUUUCGGUGUGUAAACUCCUUUUAUCAGAGAAGAAAAUGACGGUAUCUGAUGAAUAAGCUCCGGCUAACUCCGUGCCAGCAGCCGCGGUAAUACGGAGGGCGCAAGCGUUAUUCGGAAUCACUGGGCGUAAAGGACGCGUAGGCGGGUUUUAAGUCAGGUGUGAAAUCCUAUGGCUCAACCAUAGAACUGCACUUGAAACUGGGGACCUAGAGUAUGGAAGGGGCAGGUGGAAUUAGUGGUGUAGGGGUAAAAUCCGUAGAUAUCACUAGGAAUACCGAAAGCGAAGGCGACCUGCUGGGACAUUACUGACGCUGAGGCGUGAAAGCGUGGGGAGCAAACAGGAUUAGAUACCCUCGUAGUC